rnacentral:rRNA from 1 species
UUCGCAAUGCCCGAAAGGGUGACGAAGCGACGCCGCGUGAGUGAGGAAGGCCUUCGGGUUGUAAAGCUCUGUCAGGAGUUAAGAAAUAUAAGUGUGCUAAUACCACGUUUAUUUGACAAAGGCUCCAAAGGAAGCCACGGCUAACUCUGUGCCAGCAGCCGCGGUAAUACAGAGGUGGCAAGCGUUGUUCGGAAUUAUUGGGCGUAAAGAGCACGUAGGUGGGUUUGUAAGUCAGAUGUGAAAGCCUUCUGUUCAACGGAAGAAUUGCAUCUGAAACUGCGAGUCUUGAGUGUAGGAGGGGAGAAUGGAACUUCUGGUGGAGCGGUGAAAUGCGUAGAUAUCAGAAGGAACGCCGGCGGCGAAAGCGAUUCUCUGGCCUAUUACUGACACUCAGUGUGCGAAAGCUAGGGGAGCAAACGGGAUUAGAUACCCCGGUAGUCCUAGCUGUAAACGAUGGGCACUAAGUAGAGGGGCAUU